UCAGCUGUUAAAUGCAACUCCAACAGAAGAGUACUAGAAAUGUUAGCUAUACUUGGAGCUGGUUUUGAUUGUGCGAGCAAGGCGGAGUUACAGCAGGUGCUUGAUCUAGGCGUUCAGCCUAAUAGGAUCAUAUAUGCACACCCAUGCAAAGCCAAAUCACACCUCAUGUUCGCCAAGGAGAACGAUGUCCGACUCAUGACGUUCGACAACGAGGACGAGCUCGUCAAAAUAAAAGAAGUCUUUCCAAAAGCGAGGUUAGAUCGACAAAAGAUGUUACGUUAUCACAUUUAGGUGCACUUCUUUCAGGUUUUUUUUUUCAAACUUGCUUCUUAGUUUUCAUUUUGAAAAGGAAAAUUCCUUUUUGUUUGUUUCGAAUUACCACCAUUUAAUAUACCUGCCAUAUGCUGUUAUACUAACUACCACCAUGAUUACGGCCAUGACAAGGCAGAUUUGUAAAAUAAGGAGGACAAUAAACUGAUAAACAUUUA